GACGAACGCUGGCGGCGUGCUUAACACAUGCAAGUCGAACGGAAAGGCCCUGCUUUUGUGGGGUGCUCGAGUGGCGAACGGGUGAGUAACACGUGAGUAACCUGCCCUUGACUUUGGGAUAACUUCAGGAAACUGGGGCUAAUACCGGAUAGGAGCUCCUGCUGCAUGGUGGGGGUUGGAAAGUUUCGGCGGUUGGGGAUGGACUCGCGGCUUAUCAGCUUGUUGGUGGGGUAGUGGCUUAUCAAGGCUUUGACGGGUAGCCGGCCUGAGAGGGUGACCGGCCACAUUGGGACUGAGAUACGGCCCAGACUCCUACGGGAGGCAGCAGUGGGGAAUAUUGCACAAUGGGCGGAAGCCUGAUGCAGCAACGCCGCGUGCGGGAUGACGGCCUUCGGGUUGUAGACCGCUUUCGCCUGUGACGAAGCGUGAGUGACGGUAAUGGGUAAAGAAGCACCGGCUAACUACGUG
rnacentral:rRNA from 1 species